GCAGUAGCCGCGGGAAUACGUAGGGUGCAAGCGUUAAUCGGAAUUACUGGGCGUAAAGCGUGCGCAGGCGGUUAUAUAAGACAGAUGUGAAAUCCCCGGGCUCAACCUGGGAACUGCAUUUGUGACUGUAUAGCUAGAGUACGGCAGAGGGGGAUGGAAUUCCGCGUGUAGCAGUGAAAUGCGUAGAUAUGCGGAGGAACACCGAUGGCGAAGGCAAUCCCCUGGGCCUGUACUGACGCUCAUGCACGAAAGCGUGGGGAGCAAACAGGAUUAGAUACCCCAGUAGUCCCUGUCUCUUAUAC
rnacentral:rRNA from 1 species